rnacentral:misc_RNA from 1 species
AAGUCGUAACAAGGUCUCCGUAGGUGAACCUGCGGAGGGAUCAUUAACACUAUUUGACUUUUUUUUCUUAAAAACAAAAAAAAGUUCAAAUUUCUCUACACCUCGCGAACUCGUCAAUCUUUUCCGUAAAAAAGAAAAUAUUGAUCGAAUAUAACUGCCUUGAGGGUAAGGUUGCCAAUGCGACGCAGUGAACCAUAGAAAUAUGGUGGCUAGCUUCCAUCUCUCAAUUGUGUGGUUUCAAAUUUUGGGAGAUGUGACACUCACGCAUCUCGUCCCCCCUUUGCCAUUUUUUCACCGUAAACCAAUGUACUGAUUUUAAAAGUAGAACUAUUUGAAAAAAUAAUUCUUCUUAUAAUAAAUAAAAAAACUAAGCACAACUCUUAGCAACGGAUAUCUUGGUUCUC